UGCGUAGGGGUCGAGCGUUGUCCGGAGUUACUGGGCGUAAAGCGUGUGCAGGCGGCGCAUCGCGCCCGGCGUGAAAGCCCCCGGCUCAACCGGGGAGGGUCGUCGGGGACGGGUGCGCUUGAGGGUAUCAGGGGCAGGUAGAAUUCCCGGUGUAGUGGUGAAAUGCGUAGAGAUCGGGAGGAAUACCCGUGGCGAAGGCGGCCUGCUGGGAUACACCUGACGCUGAGACACGAAGGCGUGGGGAGCGAACGGG
rnacentral:rRNA from 1 species